rnacentral:rRNA from 1 species
AUAUCAAUAAGCGGAGGAAAAGAAACCAACCGGGAUUGCCUUAGUAACGGCGAGUGAAGCGGCAAAAGCUCAAAUUUGAAAUCUGGCUCUAUUUUGGGGUCCGAAUUGUAAUUUGAAGAAGCGACUUUGGACCUGGCUCUUGUCUAUGUUCCUUGGAACAGGACGUCACAGAGGGUGAGAAUCCCGUGCGAUGAGAAGCCCAGGUUCGUGUAAAGCGUUUUCGACGAGUCGAGUUGUUUGGGAAUGCAGCUCUAAGUGGGUGGUAAAUUCCAUCUAAAGCUAAAUAUUGGCGAGAGACCGAUAGCGAACAAGUACAGUGAUGGAAAGAUGAAAAGAACUUUGAAAAGAGAGUGAAAAAGUACGUGAAAUUGUUGAAAGGGAAGGGCUUGAGAUCAGACUUUGUUUUUCCAUGGCGCUCUUUCGGGGGUGUCCUCUGGGUCUACAGGGCCAGCAUGGGUUUUGCGGGCGAGACAAGGACUCAGGAAUGUGGCUCUGCUUCGGUGGAGUGUUAUAGCCUGGGGUACUGGUCGCCAUGCGGGACCGAGGACUGCGGUACUAGGAUGCUGGC